UACGGAAGGGGCUAGCGUUGUUCGGAAUUACUGGGCGUAAAGGGCGCGUAGGCGGCCUUCUAAGUCGGACGUGAAAGCCCCAGGCUUAACCUGGGAACUGCGUCCGAUACUGGAAGGCUUGGAUUCGGGAGAGGGAUGUGGAAUUCCAGGUGUAGCGGUGAAAUGCGUAGAUAUCUGGAGGAACACCGGUGGCGAAGGCGGCAUCCUGGACCGACAUCGACUCUGAGGCGCGAAAGCUAGGGGAGCAAACGGG
rnacentral:rRNA from 1 species